CCAAAAAAUAAAAAACCUCCAAUUCGCGAAGAAUCCAUGGCGACUCGCUCCACCGACUCAGAAACCACCAACCAAACCGGUUCCGACUCGGACAAGGCUCGCCACCCACUCGCCAUAGUCUUCUCAGUCGGCCGUCUGAUCCGUCCUCCAAAGCUCGCUUCACGAUGCACAUCUUUCUCCAUUUCUUCCGAGCUCAUCCACUGCCUCUGCUCUAUCCCCGAAUUGCCUCUGUCCUUAACCGAAGAUCUCUACUCUGCACGGUCUUCCGAUGCCUUGAAACCUUUGGCUGACUCGACGGCGAAUUCAAAAAGCAGAAGGAAUGAAGAAUCCACAUGAGAAUCCACAAAUUUGAUGGGCCAGAAACAUGGAAAUAGGGGGCAUAGGGCAGAGUCCAGUAUAGUGGUGGUGGGGUUUUACUGAGUUUUAGGGUUGGAAGUGCGAGAAACAAUGGCAGCUCCAAUUGCCGGAAGAUCGACGGUGGUGGUGUGUACGCUGUUCAGAGCAACAACCACCAAUCCAACAGCGUCGGCAAGUAGACCUUCAUCGUCGCCUCUCUCUUCGAUUCGCUCAGCUUUCAGGCCUCUUCAAUCUCGAGUCUCUUCCCCUCCUUCUUCCAGGUUGGUAUGACGAGAAUUGGCUUCUCUUAGACCCAUCCACACUGCCAUUGCAUAGGCUUGCCUUGUCUCCAAGCUCCCCGCCGAUCCCACCACCUAUAUGGAAGGUCUUUCUCUCUCUCUUUUUACACAUAUGUCCAACUUUUGCUUUUGAAUACAAAUUGUUGCGCAUUUUCUAAUAAUUUUCUGAUAUUUUAGUGAGUAUGAAAAAUUAAGGCUAUAAUCCUUGUCUUUGUGACCGUGCACAAAUUCAAAUUGAAAUCUUUGCUAGGAACUUAGAUAUUCCUCAACCUUGAAUCUGUUGCUUUUAACUUUCCCAUUUUGGUUCACGGCUCUGGGGUAGUUUGACAUUGCACUUGGGCUUUAGGAAGUUAUAGUAGUAAUAUAUAUUUAACUCACGAAGUCGAUAAAUAACCAUUCCCAUUCUGGCAUUGCUAAAGAAAUUUUAUUUUUCAUUAACAAAGAAUACCAUCUCAAUUGGAAAUUAUUCUCAUCAAAUAUAGCAAUGUUGCACUUUGUAAAUCUUACGGAUCUGAGCUGGAUUUAUUUAUUUUAGUGGGAAGUAUAAGGUUUAAUUCACUGUUAGUUUAAAUAGCCUUAAGAGUGUAGUGCAGACCUUAGUUUUUCUUGAAUGAUACUGAUAUAUUUACUCCUUCCCCUUCCUCCUGCCUCCCGCUUCCUGCCCCUAGCACCCCCAAGACUUCUUCAUUCCAGUUUUAAUGUGUAGUACCGAAGCAGUCAGAAUGUGGCUUAAGAAGCGGAAACGCCUCGUAUGGUACUCUAAAUUCAUGCCUCCGGCCAAAAGAAGAUUCAUCUUUAGCCUUCGAGAUUUUGAUUUUUUUCUCUCUCUCUCUCUCUCUCUCUCUCUCUGUGGAAGUUCAAAACGCAGUAAGAAAUGUGAUUUCUCAAAGGUACUACUGAAGUGAUUUGUGUAUUUAAUUAUUUAUUCUUUUUUUUUCUUAAUUUUAAAAAUUGUUUUGAAAAUUGAGAUCUGGAAAUAUUUUACUCAUAGGUCAACUAGGUUGUAAUUUGAUUGUAGAUCAAUAAUUUUUUGGGGGAAUUGGCAUGUUUGGCUUUGUAUUUGAUUUAUGAAAGGAGCAAGGAAAGAAUUAUUUUUGGAACCCCUAUAUUAGAGAGCUUGAUUGCCUCUGAGAGAGGGGCCAAUUGGCCGUGAAAUAUUCUCUUUUAUGGUUAGAUGCUGAACUGGCUUAUCUUACUGGCAGCCUUACAAAUGUACUUUAUGCUGUAAGAUAGUUUUCUUCAUGUAUAUUCAUUUAGUUUAGACACUGUUAGAUAGUUGAAAUUAUUUUAGUUAUUUUAUUAUUUUUAGCCAAUUGUUGUACUAGGUUGGUUUCAUUUAAUUUCAGUUAUUAUAUUUUAGAUUUAAAAAUUUAAGGA